rnacentral:rRNA from 1 species
AGGUUUUCGGAUCGUAAAACUCGUGUUGUUAGGGAAGAACAAGUACCGUUCGAAUAGGGCGGUACCUUGACGGUACCUAACCAGAAAGCCACGGCUAACUACGUGCCAGCAGCCGCGGUAAUACGUAGGUGGCAAGCGUUGUCCGGAAUUAUUGGGCGUAAAGCGCGCGCAGGCGGUUUCUUAAGUCUGAUGUGAAAGCCCCCGGCUCAACCGGGGAGGGUCAUUGGAAACUGGGGAACUUGAGUGCAGAAGAGGAGAGUGGAAUUCCACGUGUAGCGGUGAAAUGCGUAGAGAUGUGGAGGAACACCAGUGGCGAAGGCGACUCUCUGGUCUGUAACUGACGCUGAGGCGCGAAAGCGUGGGGAGCGAACAGGAUUAGAUACCCUGGUAGUCCACGCCGUAAACGAUGAGUGCUAAGUGUUAGAGGGUUUCCGCCCUUUAGUGCUGCAGCAAACGCAUUAAGCACUCCGCCUGGGGAGUACGGUCGCAAGACUGAAACUCAAAGGAAUUGACGGGGGCCCGCACAAGCGGUGGAGCAUGUGGUUUAAUUCGAAGCAACGCGAAGAACCUUACCAGGUCUUGACAUCCUCUGACAACCCUAGAGAUAGGGCUUCCCCUUCGGGGGCAGAGUGACAGGUGGUGCAUGGUUGUCGUCAGCUCGUGUCGUGAGAUGUUGGGUUAAGUCCCGCAACGAGCGCAACCCUUUGAUCUUUAGUUGCCAGCAUUCAGUUGGGCACUCUAAGGUGACUGCCGGGUGACAAACCGGAGGAAGGGUGGGGGAUGACGUCAAAUCAUCAUGCCCUCUUUAUGACGCUGGGCUACACACGUGCUACAAU